AGCCCCGUAGUCUAGCGGUCUCUUUAUAGCCGCAAAAGGAUUCAGCCCUUUGGAGGCUGAGACGGCAGUUCGAAUCUGCCCGGGGCUA
rnacentral:tRNA from 1 species